UUGGAGGUCAAACAACCACCUGGGUACACA
rnacentral:piRNA from 1 species